CUUGUAAUUGGAAUGAUGGGAAUUUAAACCUCUUCCAGAGUAUCAAUUGGAGGGCAAGUCUGGUGCCAGCAGCCGCGGUAAUUCCAGCUCCAAUAGCGUAUAUUAAAAUUGUUGCAGUUAAAAAGCUCGUAGUUGAAUUUCUGCUGCAUUGUUUCUUCCCUUUGGGUUC
rnacentral:rRNA from 1 species